UACGGGGGGGAGCAAGCGUUGUUCGGAUUUACUGGGCGUAAAGGGCGCGUAGGCGGCCACGACAAGUCACUUGUGAAAUCUCCGGGCUUAACUCGGAACGGUCAAGUGAUACUGUCGGGCUAGAGUGCGGAAGGGGGCAACUGGAAUUCUCGGUGUAGCGGUGAAAUGCGUAGAUAUCGAGAGGAACACCUGCGGCGAAGGCGGCUCUCUGGGACGGUACUGACGCUGAGACGCGAAAGCGUGGGGGAGCAAACAGG
rnacentral:rRNA from 1 species